AAGCCUGAUCAUGGAAAUGGUUGGGUACAACAUAUUGUCUUCCUGACUGGUGGAGGUGGCUGUCCCUCCAAGCUCUCAGCUCGUGGAGUGCCACAGAAUGCUUUUGGCAUUCACCUGGUAAAGGUGAAAUUGCUCAAAAAUUGAUCUGAGUGCAGAGUGGAGAGACCAUGGAACCUCAAAUACUUCAAACACUGUAAUCUCGAGUUACAGUCCCACUGAAAAAUUCUGGUGGAGCACCUGUGUGUUCUUCCAGGAGACUUCAGCAGCUUCUAUACCUUCUAUAGUGAACUGUGUGGAAAAGAGCUGUUCUGUGCCAGGUGUGAGAAUAGCAAAAUGUCUAAAGCUGGAAAUAAAAUGGGAAAGAUUUGCAGUGCCCAUUGAAGAGGUGAAGACUUAGAGCACUUUGCACCAAAGACUGCUAUUUUAAGGGCUGUCAAAAGCACUGUGGAAGUGACAAAGGUCCCGAAGGCCACAUUGAUGUCUCCAUGAAACUUCCCAGACCGAACAAUCCCAAUUUUCUCAGCCUUUCCUCAUAGCAGGAAAGCAGGGUGUUCCAUCCCUCUGAUCAUCUUGGUAGCCUUUCUCAUAAUAAUGGAUUGAAGUCAGGGAUGAGCAGGAUUCUGGAAUAAGGGGGAUGUCCAAGAAGGGCUGCCAGAGUGAGAUCUCCUGGUUUCACUGACAGGAAGGGCUGCUUCACUUCCUCAGGCAGGAUACUUCUUGUCUUCUUGGGAAGAUUGUCUAGGAGCUGUAGAUAAGAAAUUCCUAAAGAUGCAUUCUCCCUAAUGGUCAAGAAAAUGAAUAUUUCUGGAAUUGCCUUAGGAGGAGUUCCACUGGAGAAUAAAGAGAGACUAAAGCCUCCCAGGCCUACCAAAAUGCCUGUCUCAUGAACAAAAUAGGAUGUGGACAAAGUGAGAUGGAUUUUGAGAGUAUAUCUGUUCACUUCAGCAGGAAUUGUGUUGUGUGAUGGUAUGGACAUGGUUUUGAUUGAAUACUCUGAACUUAUUAUGUAAUAUAAUAUAUAAUAUACAAUAUAAUAUAUACAAUAUAUAUAAGAAUAUUACAUAAUAUUAUGUAAUAUAAUUGUGUAGUAUUAUGUAAUAUAUUUAUGUAAUAGCUACUGCACAAAACUGAUGUGAUCAGAAUUCAUUUAAUUGCAACAAAUAAAUCUGUCCAGUCUGA